AUGCAUUCUUUUGGCAUAUUUGGUUUUGCAUGUACAUCAUUAUGUUUCUCCUCCCACUACCACAAGAAAAAGAUAUUAAUUGUAGUAAAAAAUAAAGUUAUAAACUUCUGGCAAGCUAAAACUGAGAACAGGUUAUCAAAGGGAUGUGUGCCUGUUCACUUUUAGAAGUGUAUUAGGUCUUUCAUAGCUGAGAAAGGACAGAAAUAGGGAGAUAAAGUCGUUCACCUCAGAUCACAAGCUAAAUUGGUGGUAAAGGCUGGACUAGAAUCUAGAUGUAAUGGGUAACUUUCACCCACAUUAUGUCAGUCCCAUUUAGACUUCCUUGGUUGACUAGUAUUGAUGUAACCAAAAAGACAUCUACUCAAAAUUCAAUAUUCUAAUGGUAGUUAUUGAGAACUUACUAUCUGUCUGGUCCUGUUUAAAGAGUAGGACAUAUAGCAGUGAAUCAGGCACUUUUUUUUUUUUUUUAUCAAGAACUUUCUGGCAAAGAUAUAUAUUUUGUUCCUGCGAGAGGCCAUUUGUUGCAUAUCAACAGCCAGAUAAGCCUUAAACAAACAGGUAAUAAAAAGGACAGUCUUGGCUACUCUUUUUGUGAUUUAAUCUAGAACAACAUUUCUCUCUUGGUAUUUACUUCAUCAGGCUGAUGUAAGGACUUGCUACUGCAUUCAUUGUCAGCAAUGGUCACAGCAGGCCUGAAUACUUUUUUGUUGUUGUUAACUGUAUUUAAAGGUGUUGUACCAUUCACUUGCAAAGAAACUGUUUUUAUCAAAUGAGAUUUUGCUUUGGAAGAAUGGCAAUGCAAUUCAGCCAUGUUUUUUUCUAAAUUAAUGUAACAUUUGCAUAAUAAUAUUUUAAAGUAAUUGCUUGGGCCACUUUCUUUUUUUAUUUUUUGCAGAAGAACUAGCAGAUCGCUGUUAGAAAAACAUUUGUUAAAUUUCCAAAUCAUAAUGUAUUUUAGUGGUGAGAGGAGCUCAGUAAAGGAAAUUAAAGGCAUCGUGGACUCCACAGAGCAUGGAACACAAUGAGCUCUCAAAAAGUCAUUUGUUGGCAGA
rnacentral:lncRNA from 1 species